rnacentral:lncRNA from 1 species
CCGUACUCGACGAAGUGAGUGACAACCACGUUUGAAUUCAUUUGAACAUUUGCGAUGAUACAAGCAAGUGCUAUUGCAUGGCUAUUGCAAGUAAAGUUAAAAUCGCUUUUGAGUUUAGUUUAUGUUACACUCUGUUAUUUUGUAAAAUUUACUUAGGAGUGUUCAAGUUUUCUGUGGUUAUUUAAAGUAUGCUUGACUUCUAUGUGAUUCACAUAGUUUCCUAUUAUGUCAACGCCAUGCUUGAUGCUUCCUAUUGUCUAUUGAACGUGAUAAUUCAGCUUUUGUAACUUCAUGAAACAACCUCUGGAGAUUUUCUCAGGUAGUGCAUCUACCUGUCUCAUGCUGUGAUAGGAAAAUUUAGAGGGCUUCCGAUGUGUGGCGGAGUCGAUCGUUUUUCGUAUCUCUAGUCAGCGACGUGUCCCACAGGAUGUCUAUUUUGUUGGUGGGAUGUUGGAUGACAGGUGCUUGCAGCUUGAUUUUCUGGAUUUCAUUCUGUGGAGGCUUAUGUGACCGGGUGGUGGCUAUCGUAUGUCAUUCAGGUGAUGGUGUGCAGCUCUCGAUUCUACAAUGUAGAAGUUUUUGAGUUUUACUGUAGGCCUACCUUAUGAUGCCGUGCCGUCGGAGUAUUAGUAAGGGGCAGGUUGCGAUGUGGUGCGUUCUGCAGCUGACGGCUUUGUUAAAGGUGGAUAUUCUCAGGUAAUAUGUACAGGUUUUGCUGGUUGUUGCGUUUGUUUCGUCUUGUUGCCGAACGUGGAUUUUUAUGUUAAAUUUGUAAAGGAUUGCCAGUUUUGGGAAUAGUGUGAUGAAAGAUUAGUAUUAGAGCAUUGGGUUCUGAAUUUCACAAUAAUUGUUAUUUCUGAUUAAUUGUCUUGAUCUUGCAUGGACGAACUGAGGAAGUAUUAAGUACAAAACUGGAGAAUGUUUUUUUUUGUGUGUAAGUUUUACGUAUACUGUAAAGUUGUUCAAUUUAGACUGGGGAAUUAUGUAAAUAGUAUCAACACUAAGUUCUCGUCUUGUAUCUCAUAGAAUUCCCUAUUGGUCUUAACCAGUGAAUAUUUGUCAUCUAGAUGGUUACCCUAGAAUUGUGAGAUGAGACUGGAGGAUUAUAGGAGAUGUACAACAAAGGCACAAAGGCGAUGAAAUGGUAUCAUCUUUCUAGUUUCAACUGACUAUUGUGAUGAUUAACAGACCUGUUCUGAUCGCUUUGAAGACUAAUUGUGUUACUUCUGAAUUUGUUAUAAUCAAUCAUGGAACAUCUAUUAUACAGUCUGUUAGCUUAGCUAUCUGAUUUCACAGUUCAGGUAACUAAGUAAACUACUUCAACUGAACUUAUUUCCGCAGUGAUGAUCGUUUUUUCUGAUUCGCACAAUGUUGCUUUCUGAAGUCAAUCAAAAUAUUAGACAUGCAUGACUCUGAGAAAAGCUAUUUGUUUUGUAUUGAAUUAAAUCUUGAUUCCUGUUAAUCCAUGCACUUUGAAAAAUUUAUACAGGUUUUAAUAAGAUGAGGAUCUUUUGGGGUUUCCCGUGAGAUUUCUGUAUUAUGUGAAGGCCAAUGAUCAUUUGUGAUAUAAACUAUUUUGGUUGUUUUUGGACAACAGCCUGCUGGAUUUUAGUAUUGCCAUUUACCUACGGUAUUGCUGCUGCAAAUAUUCUGGCGGCCGCGCAUCUGAAGGACUGAACUGUUACUGUACAAUAGCAAGCGAUAUUGUACAGCGUCUUCCUUUUGCAGGCGAGAAAGACGGCUAGACUAUGACGGCCCGUCAUAGUAAUUCAAGUAUUGGUCUUCUGGAAUUCCCUCAUCCUUAAUAUUCGUCCUUGGCUUAGCUGCCGUGUAAUAGUGGGAAGUUAACGUAUAGGUAAUCAAAACUUUGUGCGUUUGGAGGUUAACAUGAUGGAUUGUAAAUUUCUGACAUCUCUUCUGAGUUUAUCCGUUUAUCAUUGAAGAUAUCUUUACAGCUAAAUAUCUGAAUAAACUAAUGUAGUUUUAAAGUGAGGCUUUAGAUAAUGGUUCAAAAAUGCGUUUAGUUUCAGGGCAAUACUUCGCAGCUUCAUCUGGCACUACCUUACAGCUCGAUAUGCAUUCAGGUUGGUUGAAGUUUGUUGGCAUAACCCACUAAUUAAGCCGAUUGAUUAAGUCCUUAACUGGCAAUUCUUUGGUAUACGGUGGAACAGUAAAUGCUAUUCCGUGUAAGGUGUUCCACCCAUUGCUUGGUGUGAUAUCUAAGGGUUGAAUCAGCAAUAUUUUAAUUAUUAAUUUGAUGGAUGUUUUAUUUGUAGUUUUACCUAAUCCAAUAGUGUCUUAAUGUGUUCUGAGGGUGUGAUUCGUUGGUGGGGCGUUUUUUGAGCUGGUUGCUAAUAUUUUCAUUGAUCUCUUGAAAUAAAAUUGAAA